GCCUGGCUGGCUCAGUCGGUGGAGCAUGUGACUCUUGAUCUCAGAGUUGUGAGUUUGAGCCCCACGUUGGGUA
rnacentral:tRNA from 1 species